rnacentral:rRNA from 1 species
CCCUUAGAUGUCCUGGGCUGCACGCGCGCUACACUGGAAGUUACGGAUUGAGAUACUACCUUGUCCGAAAUGGUCCGGGUAAUCACCUAAAAGCUUGUCAUAAUUGGAAUGGAUUAUUGUAACUAGUAAUCCUGAACGAGGAAUUCCUAGUAAGUCCCAGUCAACAGCUGGUACUGAUUACGUCCCUGCCCUUUGUACACACCGCCCGUCGCUACUACUGAUUGGACGUUUAAGCAAGAUUUUUAAACACGGACAGUGUGUAGUUCACGCUAUACUACAGUGAGAAGAAGAAGAUCGAGCUUACUUGUCUAGAGGAAGUAAAAGUCGUAACA